CACCGGGAAACACGCGCGCCGACAGGUGGAGAGCGAGCUUCUGCCUUAAAGAUCACCCGAGAGCUGAGAAACGUGUUGCCAAAAGAAAUUACAUAAAAAUAUUCGCACUGGUGAGCUCUGGGUGGCGGGGUGACUGUGAGCAGUUUUUACAGGCUACAGUGGCUCCUACGGUUUUUCACAAAGUAGUAACAGGGACUACGUCGGUUAAAGUUACUUCUGAUCAGCCGCGGGCCCCACGUCCCAGGGCUGAACAAGCCCGGUCUGCGGCAACACGAGGCUCUCCCGUGACAGGGCCUCGCCCAAGGCUCCCCCAGCAGAUCUCCUGGGAUUCAGAACUACCAAAUCGCCGGCAGACACGUCUCCAUCAGAGGAAGCCUGUGACAUCCGCCAGGAUAAAAUCAAAAGGGCAAUGGAACCCACCCAAGAGAAAUACGACCAGAGAGAUUUGCGUGCAAACAUUCACAACAGCAUUGUUCACAGCAACCAGAAUGUCCACCAACCGCGGGGGCAUGAGCAGCAGGGAAACGGCCAUGAAAAGAAAGAAACUGCUGAGACAUGGGCCUACGUGGAUGAACCUCAAAAACGCUGGGCCAGAUGAAAGAUGCCAGACAAGAAAAUCCCAUGAUUCCAUUUAUGUGACAUUUCUUAAGAAGGUAAAUCUCUAUAUAGAGAAAGCAAAUUCAUGUUUGCCUGGGGGUGAGAGUGGGAUCAACUGCAAAGAGGCACGAAGGAACUUUUUUGGGUGAUGAAAAAUAAAACUUUGGAUGCUGAACAUAUUUUAAAACUAGAUUGCAAUGAUAGUUGCAUAACUGUAUACAUUUAUUAAAAUCGUGGAACACUUA